CUACUUACCUGGCAGGGGAGAUACCAUGAUCACGAAGGUGGUUUUCCCAGGGCGAGGCUUAUCCAUUGCACUACGGAUGUGCUGACCCUUGCAAUUCCCCCAAAUGUGGGAAACUCGACUGCAUAAUUUGUGGUAGUAGAGGACUGCGUUCGUGCUUUCCCCUG
rnacentral:snRNA from 1 species